AUGAACGCUGGCGGCGUGCCUUAUACAUGCAAGUCGAGCGAACAGACGAGGAGCUUGCUCCUCUGACGUUAGCGGCGGACGGGUGAGUAACACGUGAUAACCUACCUAUAAGACUGGGAUAACUUCGGGAAACCGGAGCUAAUACCGGAUAAUAUAUUGAACCGCAUGGUUCAAUAGUGAAAGACGGUUUUGCUGUCACUUAUAGAUGGAUCCGCGCCGCAUUAGCUAGUUGGUAAGGUAACGGCUUACCAAGGCGACGAUGCGUAGCCGACCUGAGAGGGUGAUCGGCCACACUGGAACUGAGACACGGUCCAGACUCCUACGGGAGGCAGCAGUAGGGAAUCUUCCGCAAAGGGCGAAAGCCUGACGGAGCAACGCCGCGUGAGUGAUGAAGGUCUUCGGGUCGUAAAACUCUGUUAUUAGGGAAGAACAAAUGUGUAAGUAACUAUGCACGUCUUGACGGUACCUAAUCAGAAAGCCACGGCUAACUACGUG
rnacentral:rRNA from 1 species